UGAUUCCACAGAGGUUUACAAAAGAAGAGAUUAGUUAAGAUUGGUCGCCUUAUCAUAUGGGAUUCGAAUGCCGCCAUUAUAGUAAUGUAGGCACUAGAUGAAGAAUUCAGAAACUGGAUUCAACGGCCAUUUCGGUUCCGGGGGUGUUUUGGUCAAAUGGCUCGGCAGCUUUUUUGGUUUUUUGAUGAAAACCUUCCGCUUUCAUAGAACCGAAGGCUUCUCCGCUGUUAUUGACGUUGGCAGAAAAAAAAAAAAAAAAAACUCCCACAGAGGUAGAGAGAUAGAGAGAUAGAGAGAUAGAGAGAUAGAGCAAUGGAGGAUCCUCUCGAUGCCCUGAGGUCUUUAAUGGCUUCCCAUUCUCCUCCUCUUGAUGCCUUGAUCGUUCCAUCCGAAGAUUAUCAUCAGAGCGAAGACGUGUCUGAGCGGGACAAAAGGCGUGAAUUUGUUUCUGGAUUCUCCGGAAGUGCUGGUUUGGCACUUAUAACAAUGAAGGAGGCACGGCUGUGGACAGAUGGGCGGUACUUCUUGCAAGCAACACAAGAACUAAGUGACCGGUGGAAGCUUAUGCGUAUUGGAGAAGAUCCAGCUUUGGAGGCUUGGAUAGCUGAUAAUCUGCCAAGUGAUGCUGCUAUUGGGGUCGAUCCUUGGUGUGUAUCAAUAGAUACUGCACAAAUAUGGGAGCAUGCUCUCGCAAAGAAACAGAAAAAACUAGUGCAAACAUGCACAAACAUAGUAGAUGAAGUUUGGAAGAACAGGCCUCCACCAGAAAUCAAACCUGUUUUUAUACAUCCGCUGGAAUUUGCGGGAUGUGCUGUGGCAGGGAAGUUAACGGAUCUCAGAGAAAAGCUCGCAAAGGAGAAAGCUCGUGGUAUCAUUAUUACAGCGCUUGAUGAGGUAGCUUGGUUGUAUAACAUUCGUGGAAAUGACAUGUCAUACAAUCCAGUUGUUCAUGCAUUUGCUAUUGUAACAUCAAGCUCAGCCUUCUUUUAUGUGGACAAAAAGAAGGUGUCUGCAGAGGUAUACUCCUAUAUGGAGGAGAAUGGAAUUGAAGUCAGGGAUUAUGACGCAGUGAGCUCAGAUGUUGCAUUACUUGCAACGGGUCAGCUGAACUCCUCAGAAACCAAGGGAACUCCAACUGAAGUUCCAAAUAAUGCUGAACUCAGUUCUACUGAAACAGAAAAUGGUGAGAUUGAAGCAGAAGAAAUCAAUCAUAACGUCAUAUGGCUUGACCCUGGUUCAUGCUGCCAUGCACUAUAUUAUAAACUGAAUUCAGAUGAGGUUCUGCUGCAGCAGUCUCCCUUGGCACUUGCAAAAGCCAUCAAGAACCCUGUUGAGUUGGAGGGCUUAAGAAGGGCACAUAUCCGGGAUGGUGCAGCUGUUGUGCAAUAUCUUGUCUGGCUGGAUAAACAGAUGCAAGGGAUUUAUGGGGCUUCCGGUUACUUCUUGGAACCUGAGGGGAAAACUAAGAGAAAGCAUUCGGAAACAAUGAAACUAACGGAGGUUUCUGUGAGUGAUAAGUUAGAGGGUUUCCGUGCAACAAAAGAGUAUUUCAGAGGGUUAAGUUUUCCUACUAUAUCAUCAGCUGGGCCAAAUGCAGCAAUUAUUCAUUAUGCUCCUGAUGCAGAAAAAUGUGCGGAGCUUGAUGCAGAUCGUAUCUACUUAUUUGAUUCAGGAGCACAGUAUCAAGAUGGAACAACUGAUAUAACACGUACGGUUCACUUUGGCAAACCUUCAGCUCAUGAGAAGGCAUGCUAUACUGCGGUUCUUAAAGGCCACAUCACUUUGGAUACUGCCAGAUUUCCAAAUGGAACUAAUGGACAUGCUCUUGACAUUCUUGCUCGAGUUCCAUUGUGGAAGGAAGGUCUUGAUUAUCGACAUGGUACUGGACAUGGGAUUGGGUCUUACCUGAAUGUUCAUGAAGGACCCCAUUUGAUUAGUUUUAGACCACAAGCUCGAAAUGUGCCAUUACAAGCUUCAAUGACUGUAACAGAUGGUGAAAAAGCAGAACCUGGCUACUACGAGGAUGGGAAUUUCGGUAUAAGAUUGGAGAAUGUGCUUAUAGUCAAGGAGGCUGACACAAAAUUCAAUUUUGGAGACAAGGGUUACUUAGCCUUUGAGCACAUAACCUGGGCUCCAUACCAGAAAAAAUUAAUGGACCUGCAACUCUUAGCACCUGAAGAGACAGAGUGGGUGAACAGAUACCAUUCCAGAUGUAGAGAAGUUCUGGAGCCGUACUUGGAUGAAUCUGAGAUGGCAUGGCUGAAGAAAGCUACUGAACCUUUAAGUGUGUGAACAUAUGUGUUGGGAGCCUGCAGCAUCAUCUGCUGCUUCAACUAGGACUCUGCAAGAAAGAAGCAACCAAGGCCCAAGGGUAAGAGACCAAAGAGGGAAAACAAAAAGGACGGCAGAGAAAGAGAUGAGUCUCUUCCAUCUCUCGGAAGCUUUUCUUCUGUGGCUUCUUCCAAGUCCAAUAAUAGCGCCACAAUAAAAGUAUUUCUGCUGGGGGCAAAGAGAGGUUCUUAGAUACAGUUAAGCCAAAGCUGGAGAACAGAUAUGGUUGAUGAACCACAACACCAACCAGAACCAGAAGCUUUCAUUUUCACAAAAACCGAGUGGGAUUGGGACUAUUCUCUCUUCUCCAUGGUGUUCUUCAACUUCUCCAUCUCCUUCACACUUCCAAGUGAAGACCCAACAGCAAUGAUGUUGAGUAAUUAUUUGAGAAUACAAUUGAUCUACCUUCUCUCUUCUCCAGUAUUUCUUCCAUUACCUACCUUCUCUUUGAUUAAUGAUGUUGAGUAAUUAUUCGAGAACACAAUUGAUCCCUUUUAUAUUUCUGAAAA